CUAUCAUCUUCUCCAUUUUUGAACUUUCCCAAGCGAAAACACCAUUACAAGACCUUAAGGGAUUCAGCCAAGCAUUCAUCUUACAUAUCAAGAAUUAAAAGAAAUCGGAUUUGGAUCGGGAAAAGACAAAAGUGGUCGAGUUGCCGAUUUAACUGUUCGACAACGUCCGAGAUUUUGGAGUCGCGUUACGAGCUCGGGAAUCGUCAGCAUAGUCUAUCACACUAUUGACCGUCUUUGGUAUUUUGUAAAUUUGAAUUUGAACUUAUGGCAUGUAUAGUCUAGUUAAUAUGUUUAAUUUUGGGAUAUGUUAAUAUGAGCCAUGCGAAAAUGGCUUAUUCAUUUUGG